GGGGUUAUAACUUGAUGGUAGAGCGCAUGCUUAGCAUGCACGAGGUCCUGGGUUCAAUCCCCAGUAACUCCA
rnacentral:tRNA from 1 species